CCACGACAAACUGUGUUCGAGUGUGUAAGUGUGUUGACUUGUGUCGGUGCGUGUCUCCCAGAGGGAAAACAGCCUGGGUGCGUUCUUUUAGGCAUCGGAUUUGGCAACCGCUGCGCAUCGGAUUUGCCGGCUGACGGAAAUCUGCGGUGCAGUCGACUGCGCAGUCGGGCUAAAAGAAUGAAUUACUGCAAAAACUGCUGUAUCCGAUGCCUAAAAGAACGCACGGCCUACGUAUCCGCAGCUUACGGCAGCACCUCGUGCACUUUCUGCACCUGGAACGCUUACGAGGCAGAAAACAAACGCGUGAUUCACUCUUGCCCCGCCGAGAAGAGGCAGCGACAAAAGAUGUGACGCGCCAACGUAGACGCUGUAUAAAUUAACCGCGGGAAGCGCGGGAUUUGCCUGAGACGUGGGGACUCGUGUCCGUUUCGAAAAUUCAUCGGCCGCGUCGCGACGCUGACGCGAACGCCGUCGACUGUACCCGACACGCGGUGGCGUGACGUUUACGCAUCAAUCAACCGCGAUACCUUUAUCACGUUGCCGCUUGUCGAAGGCAGGAGCAUUGCGAUUAGGUACGCGAGACACGGCUCGGGUACUGCCGCUCGUGUUCGACGCAGGUGCGAAAUCACAGAGGCGUCCGUCUUACUCUGCAGCGUCGAUGUAACCGACCUCGAGUCCCUUCAUGACAUCGGCGGAACAUUUUAUUAGCCUAAUAACGAUAACAAGUGCCAAAAAACUAACUACCGCGCUUGUUAUCUGCUUUAUUAUAUAUCAUGGCGUCAUACAUCUUAUUUAUGGUAGCGAUUCUUGCAAAUGGUUGCUGACAGAAGGCAGAUACAAAGGCGACAAGGAAUGGCAACCGUACGGGUGUAUGAUGCACCAUUAUACGCAAACAGACAGCAGAAGAUGUAUGAGAUAUCUAGCUUUCAUGGGCCACCAUAAUCAUUUUGUGUUCACCGGCGACGCUAGAGUAAGGCAAUUGUAUAAAUCUUUCGUUUCGCAAUUUAUGAUCGACGGCAAAGCAUCGGACCUCACGGAACUGCCGGAGAACUCUGACUUGGGUUUCAAUGACGGGCAGCUCAAGUUGAACGUACAAUUUCUGUGGAGGCCGCGACUCGAUAAUUCCAUGAUAGCAGAUCUCAGAGGCUGGAUGAAGACAGACGCACCUAGUGUAAUUGUCGCCGGGUCCGCCGCGGCUACGAUUCUUGCAAACAACAACAGCGAUACGCAACUCUAUUCGGAAUAUAACACUGGCUUGAUUCGAUUGGUACAGCCGAUAGACUUUUUGGCCAAGAAGGGAUCCCAGUUUCUAUGGCUCUUGCAAGAUCCUGUGCUCAAGGAAAGACUGCCUGCGCAGCUGUUGAGUUUAGACAACAAACAGAUCAACUUGUGCAAUAAAGCAGCCGAGAAGAUAUUGUCUCAUAGCGAGGCUCGUGUAUGGCAUAGCAGCAAGCUGGUCGGGACCGGUGUUCUCGAGCAGAGUCCGGAUGGUUAUUUGGCGAGUCCAUUGUCACUUCGUCAUAAAGUUCAAAUACUGUUAAACACAUACUGCAACGAUCAUAUGAACUUUGAUGACGGCAGUUGUUGCAGUUAUCCCGAAUCGGCAACUACUCUACAAUUGUUAAGUCUGUCUGCGCUCGCAUUAUUCUUGACAAUAGGAGGGGGAGUGUGGCUGCACAGGAAAUUAUGCAAGUAUCGUUCCGAGGUGUCGUAUUCUCACGUCACUACCGAGGAAGUAGAAGAUACGGAAGACACCUCGGCAGGUACCUCGGAGGUCAUUCAAGUUAAGCAGCCUGAGGUACAAGAUUUCUACACCCUCGUUACAUCGCUAGCCCUCUUUUCUAUUAUAUUAGCGUAUUUUUACUUGUGUGAUAGAACCAACUUUUUCAUGAAGGAGAACAAGUAUUACAGUGAAUUCAGUUUUUGGCUACCGCUCGGCUAUAUCCUGGCUCUCGGAUUAUUUCUCACCGAGGAUCGCGAGAGAGGACCGAGAGUGUUAAACAGAGAACAAACGGACGAAUGGAGAGGUCUGAUGCAAGCGGUAGUGCUCAUCUACCAUGUCACCGGUGCCAAAAACGUCUUGCCGAUCUACAUGUAUUUAAGAUUAAUUAAUUCUGCCUACUUAUUUCUCUCUGGAUAUGGACACUUUUAUUACUUUUGGCAAACUGGCGACGUGUCUCUCGUCCGAUUUGCUAGAGUCAUGUUUCGAUUAAACCUGUUAACAGUAUCCUUAUGCCUUUGCAUGAACAGGCCGUAUCAAUUUUAUCAUUUCGUACCACUGGUAUCGUUCCGGUUUCUAGUGAUUUAUUUUCUGGCUUGGUUACCACCCAGAAUAUAUUCUGGAAGUUUGGCGGAAUACGGACCCAGAGCCUUGUUGUACUUCGCUUUGAAACUCUUGGGUCUUGUAUCGAUAAUUACCAUACUGUACAUGUCGGAGGUGUUUUUUGAGAAAGUCUUCGUCACGAGACCUUGGAAAGCAUUAUUCGUGACGACUGAUGACGAUAUCCGCGAAUGGUGGUCCCGUUGGAGAGUCGACAGAUACAGCGUAGUCUGGGGCUUGACCUUCGGAGCUGCUCUCGUCGCUCUUCAGAGAAUAGAUCACAUCCCGGGCACCGCGUUAUCUUCUGUACUGGCACUGGUCUCCUUAGUGGCGUAUACUACUUUCACGAUUUUAUGUCACUCUGUGUCCGAGUGCGAGGAAAUUCAUUCUUAUGUCGCGUUUAUUCCGAUUAUAGGAUACAUUGCUCUCCGAAACGCAUCAUUGGCAUUGCGGGGGAAACACUCUGCACUUUUAGCUGGAUUGGGUAGAAUGAGCUUGGAAACAUUGGUGGCGCAAGGUCAUAUAUGGUUGGCGGCAGAUUCGCACGGAGUACUUGUACUAUUACCCAGAUUCCCAGUGCUGAAUCUAUUGGUUACGUCGUUUAUUUUCAUCUGCGCCAGUCACGAAAUUCACAGAUUGACGCACGUUUUGGCACCGUACGCAGUACCGAACGAUUGGAAGCUAGUAGCACGCAAUUUGCUGCUCUUUAUAGCUGUGUUGGUACCUAUCGGCAUUCACGAUGGAAUGUUUUAAACAAUUCUGAUUGCCAUCCAAUGCAUCAAAAUCAAAGAUAUUAGCAGUAUUAACGGGUACGAGGAGAAUUUUUCAUAUCAUAGGCCAGUUGAAGGAAAGAUUAAUAAGUAAAACUAACUGCCUGGCCAUUGUGUUUCACAUGGCUGGUGUACACAUCAUAACCGAGAGAUAUCGUAUUAUCGUAAAACACCCUGUAUC